AACGCACAUGGCGCCUUCCAGUAUCCUGGGAGGCAUGCCUGUCCGAGCGUCGUUUCAACCCUCGAGCCCCCGUGGCCCGGCGUUGGGGAUCUGCCACGGCAGGCCCCUAAAACCAGUGGCGGACCCGAAGGCCCUCUCCUUUGCGCAGUAGCAUCAGCCUCGCAUUGGGAUCCCUCGGCGUCCUGCCUCUAAACCCCCCACAAGUCCGCUCCGGCGGCACCAAGGUUGACCUCGGAUCAGGUAGGAAUACCCGCUGAACUUAA
rnacentral:misc_RNA from 2 species